rnacentral:lncRNA from 1 species
UGAAUGCAUGCCUACUUUAAUGUGUUAAUAGUUUGCAUAUGUGUUCAAAUAUUCUCACAUGUUCUUAGCUAGGGCAAAAUUUUUCCUUCAGCAUUCGUUACUAUGAUGAGCAUGAAACUCCUGCCAAGAAUUCAUUUAACACGAUCGUUUAUAAGCGACCUCCACUACUUAUGAGUAUAAGUUUGUAACUAUUAGGUGAAACUCUCUUAUACUCUAGCAUCAUAUUCAUGCAUGCAAACUAAGUGUGCACUCUUAAUAAACAUACACGAAUAAGUUAUCAAUCAAGCAAUUAAACAAAUUGAAUUCACAACUUAUGAAACCACAACUGAAGGUAAUCAAUUCAUAUUGCAAGUAUGUUCAUGGCUUUGAAUUCCCCCCUAGCUAAGGGGUUUAGUUACACAUAAAAAAUCAGAAAAUAUUAAAGUAGAUAUUGAAAGCAAGAACGAAGUACACAUAAAACGCUCCAAAGUUUCAAGCUUGAAACACCAAGGACCUUCGUUUUCAACACCUUGUUGCAGCACAAGUAUCUAAGGAUGUGUAUGGAUAUAUGGAAAGGUUAUGAAUGUAUUUAGGUUGGAUGGAUGCCACGGCAAGGGGAAAGGAAUGUAUGGAAUUGUGUUUGAUUUUUGGUUGGAUGAGUGCCGUUGGAUAAGUGCCACGACAAGGGGAAGGGAAUGUAUGGAAUUGUGUUUGAUUUUUGGUUGGAUGAGUGCCACGGCAAGGGAAUGGAAUUGUAUGUGUUUGUGGGAUGUGGGAAUAUAUGGAUGAAUGCCAGGUGCUCACGGAUGGGAUGGAAGUGUAAAUGUAUGGAGUUGUGAGAUGUGAAUGUAGUGUCUUUGGAUGGAUCUUUUUUCUGAUUUUCCUUCCCCCUUGUUAUGGUGAAGGGUGGAUGUAUUUAUAGGCUAGAGAGAGGACCACCAUCUAAUUAAGGUGGUGGUGAUGAGUGUUGUGGUAAUGAGUGGAUGUAAUGGGUGUGGUGGAUGGAUGUUUGGUAAUGAGUGGAUGUAAUGGGUGUAGUGGAUGAAUGUUUGGUAAUGAGUGGAUGUAAUGGGUGUGGUGGAUGGAUGUUUGGUAAUGAGUGGAUGUAAUGGGUGUGGUGGAUGGAUGUUUGGUAAUGAGUGGAUGUAAUGGGUGUAGUGGAUGAAUGAAUAAGUGUAGGUCACGGCAAAGGGAAGGAAAUAAUGGCUGACUUGUGUAAUUGAAUGUGGGAAUGAAUGUGUGAAUGUGGCUGUCCAUGUUUCCCUUUACAAAUACACACACAUGUUCUACAUCAUUUUAGCCACAAAUCCACCCAUUUUCUGCCCUCCAAGCUGUCCAUGUCUUGUGUUUACAUGUGUGUUUGCUGUCAUCUAAUCACCAUUUCCACAUGUGCAAGCUGUUACACUCACACACACACAUGCUCUUCAUCAUUUCAGCCACAAAUCAACCCAUUUUCUGCCCAUGCCAAACUGUCCAUGUCGUGCCUUUCUCUUUGCAUGUGUGUACUGUCCAUCUUUCCCAUGUGUGUGUGUUUCCUUUUACAUUUGCACACACAUGUUCUUCAUCAUUUCAACUAGCAAUCAACACAUUUUCUAUCAUCACAUGGCAGCUAUGAUGUUUGUAGUUGUAGGUCAACACACUUUCACACACACAUGAUGAUUUCUAGCCUUCUAAUCUUCAAAAACGUCCAUCCUCAUGUCUCCAUGCUUGCACUAUCCAAUCUUGGCUCAAAAAUGCUCUAAAAUGCUCCAAAAUGCACUUUCUUGCCAACUUUGUUAUUAUGACCUACAAACACACGAAAGUAGCUUAAAAUACAUAAUUAACUAAGAAAUAACAACAUAAAUGCACAAGAACAAGCUAACUAAGUUGCAUAAAUAUGCUCCUAUCACACAGCCGCUUUGUUCUUGGAGAAGUUCAAAAUCAGAAUUGCUUCAAGGGGGUUUCUUCUAUGAACUUUAGUUUCACUUAUGUUGUUCGUGAUAUUUAUGCAUUCUGUAAUCAUGUUGUGUAAUUAAGUUCAUAGCUAGGUAUUUCAAUGUAGCCUUGCAAAACUAUUCUAUGUUAUUAAGUUAAAGCAUUCGAUUCAUCAGUUUGUUUUCUUGUUUCAUUCACUGAUUUUAUAGUUCAAUUUGUUUGUUUAUCUUAAUGUUUGAUCACUAUUAGGGUUUCUUACAAAUUAUUUGAUCAAGCUUAUAGUAUACAUCAUGCUUAAUCUUGGUAGACAUGUGAAUGAAUGAAGAAACUGCUAUGCAUACAUCCUGCCAUGUGAUUUCUUUGGUUCUUGGAAGUUUUCUUGUUCUUAAUGGAAUCUUAUUUGGUAAUCUAAGUUUGAACAUCACAACUAGGUUGCAGAUUAGGAAUACUUGAUCACAACCGCACAUUAAAUGGAUGAUCAUAAAUGAGUAAAACGAACCCUAGUUGUUGGUUGGAGAGUUGAAUGCGUUUUAACUUAAUUUUCAUGGAAUUAGCUUCUCAUUAUUUCUAAAUCAACCUAUCAUUUAUCUUUAUCUUUGUUGCAUUUCUAAGUUAUUUUAGCUUUCAAAACAAAAAUCUCGAGACCAUAUGUAUACUAGAUUGGCUACUAGACCCGUCCAUCCUAACAAAUAAAAUAACAAUGCACAUUAAUACAUCACAACCACAAUUCAACAUAUAUCCAAAUUCCAAUUAAUAACUCACAUAUCCAAUUCAAAUGCAAUAACAUUAACAUAUUCAAUAUGUGCAAAGUAAGAGGAAACAAUUAAACAGAAUUAAAGAGAAUUCAUAGUUAGUCAUGAAGAGGAAACACAAUUAAACAGUCAUGUCUGUUUAUAAGGAGAUUUCAUAUUUAUUCAUAUCUAACUAAUGUCCAUAUGACAUAAACAACUCAAACAUGUGAAUGCAAAAUGAAUUUAGUACUAACCUUGAAAAGCCUCAAUUCAGACCAAUCUCCUUAAGCCUCAAUUCAUGCGGGUAAUGGAGUGGAAAAGUAUAUAUAAAGAAAACCUAUUAAAGCAUUAAAGACAAAUUAGAAGUUGAAAAGUAUAUAUAAAGAAGCAAAUUGAAAAGUAUACAUAAGACAGUUACAGAAAGGGGAGUUCAAAAAGGUCUAGGCACUAUCCACAACCUAUUAGUGUUUGCAGCACUUAAGUUCAUUAUGACAAUACCAAGUUUUUCGACAUGUAACCUUAAGCAAAUCAAACAAUGCAAUUGUAGAGAACAUCAACAAAUAGAAAAGCACACACAUUUGUCUUUGCCCAUCUUUCGCAUUGAUGACACAAAACUUAUUAGAAACAAACUACACAUUGUGCCUAAAAGAACAAAAUUUUAACAAAACCAGAUAACAAAACUUAAUUUUUUAAGGUAUAAUCAGUGAGCCCCAAUUCCAAACAUAGAAUAAUCACCCAAUUAAUAAAUUGGCCAUCAUUAACUAGUUAAACACAUAGAAUUUAAAAUAGUUUCCUCAAAUGCUUCCACAAAAGCCAACUAAUCAUGGGGUUUCAAGCAUUUGGUCAAAAUAAUUAAUGCAUAAUGUACUCAUAACAAGCACAUAAGUUAAUAAAAAACUGCCAAUUUACAGCAAACAGUAAAAACCCAUAUGAGAAAUUUACCUAUUGGUAAAUAAAACUCCAACACAGAAGCUGCAGAAGCAAAGCAAAAGAGCCCAGUUCCUUCACCUAUUUGCAAAAACCCAAGAACCAUUAGAUUAGAUCAAUUAAAUAGAAUAUGUGAAACCAAAAUUUGAAGAAUUCGAAAAUUAAAUUUCACAAACCCUAAGUUUACAAACCCCAAUGUAGAAUUAGAAAAUUAAAUUUCACAAAACCUAAAUUAAUUCCCAUAAUCAUUUACCUGUGCUUGAAUCUAAGAAAAAGACUCCUGAGAGAGUCUCGUGAGAGAGAGACCGGUGGCUGUGGCUUUGUGCCCUGAAGGAAGGCUCCACCGUCGAAGAGAGACAGCGGUGGAUCAGUGUGGU